AUGCAACUGGUCCCCAUUGCCUUGCAGUGUAAGAAGAGGUCUGCGGAGCUGGCAGCUGUUCUCCGAGAGCAGACCAAAAUCCGUCAGGUACGCAGGGUGGGAGGGAGAGAAUGGAGAGCAGCGCACUGAUCGGGGAAAGCCCCCUGCCAGCAGACACGGGACGGGCUCUUGACCGGACCCUUUCCUUCCCCAGGCACUGAAGGAGGAGGUGGAAAUGGAGAUGAAAAACCUCCAGAAGGCACAACGGAGGGCCCAAAAGCGCACUGCGCCGAGGAAGACGGCACGCAGGGAAGAGCACAUGAGUUCCCUGCUGCAGGAGACAGUGGCUGUGCGAUUGGAUGAGCAGACGGCAGCACAGAAGCAUCC
ensembl:lncRNA